GCAACCUACCUUCGAUAUGUCAGGCGACUGGACUUCUUUGAAAAACCUGAUUAUGAGUAUUUACGGACCCUCUUCACAGACCUCUUUGAAAAGAAAGGCUACACCUUUGACUAUGCCUAUGAUUGGGUUGGGAGACCUAUUCCUACUCCAGUAGGGUCAGUUCACGUAGAUUCUGGUGCAUCUGCAAUAACUCGAGAAAGCCACACACAUAGGGAUCGGCCAUCACAACAGCAGCCUCUUCGAAAUCAGAAUGUAUCAUCAGAGCGCCGAGGAGAGUGGGAAAUUCAGCCCAGCCGGCAGACCAAUACCUCAUACCUAACGUCUCACUUGGCUGCAGACCGCCAUGGGGGAUCAGUGCAGCCAAGGUCUUUAACAAGCAGAGUGUUUUGUCCAGCAGUGAGGCCCCUUUUCCCACUUCCCAGCACCCACAUAAACAGGAAUAAUGUGCUGGAAAUGAAACCAGGUGGCAGAAGCAGCUACACAUGCAAGAGAAGCCUGAUUGGGUCCACAUUAACCAGAUGACAGGAGUGAGAGCCUUCACUUACAUUUCGGGGACCAUCAGUGAGAACUGGGAUGGCAGUGAACCUGAAAUAAAGAUCGUUGAAAUAAGACUGG
rnacentral:lncRNA from 1 species